rnacentral:SRP_RNA from 1 species
GCUGGGCGCGGUGGCUCACGCCUGUAAUCCCAGCACUUUGGGAGGCCGAGGUGGGCGGAUCACCUGAGGUCAGGAGUUCAAGACCAGCCUGGCCAACAUGGUGAAACCCCAUCUCUA